rnacentral:rRNA from 1 species
GACGAACGCGGCGGCGUGCCUAAUACAUGCAAGUCGAACGAGAGCGACCGGUGCUUGCACUGGUCAAUCUAGUGGCGAACGGGUGAGUAACACGUGGGUAACCUGCCCAUCAGAGGGGGAUAACAUUCGGAAACGGAUGCUAAAACCGCAUAGGUUCUUGAGUCGCAUGACCCGAGAAGGAAAAGAGGCUUCGGCUUCUGCUGAUGGAUGGACCCGCGGUGCAUUAGCUAGUUGGUGAGGUAACGGCUCACCAAGGCCGUGAUGCAUAGCCGACCUGAGAGGGUGAUCGGCCACAUUGGGACUGAGACACGGCCCAAACUCCUACGGGAGGCAGCAGUAGGGAAUCUUCCGCAAUGGACGCAAGUCUGACGGAGCAACGCCGCGUGAGUGAAGAAGGAUUUCGGUUCGUAAAACUCUGUUGUAGAGAAGAACAGCGCAUAGAGU